rnacentral:rRNA from 1 species
AACGAACGCUGGCGGCAUGCCUAACACAUGCAAGUCGAACGAUGCCUUCGGGCAUAGUGGCGCACGGGUGCGCAACGCGUGGGAAUCUGCCUUUCGGUUCGGAAUAACUCAGGGAAACUUGAGCUAAUACCGGAUAACGUCGCAAGACCAAAGAUUUAUCACCGAAAGAUGAGCCCGCGUAGGAUUAGCUAGUUGGUGAGGUAAAGGCUCACCAAGGCGACGAUCCUUAGCUGGUCUGAGAGGAUGAUCAGCCACACUGGGACUGAGACACGGCCCAGACUCCUACGGGAGGCAGCAGUGGGGAAUAUUGGACAAUGGGCGAAAGCCUGAUCCAGCAAUGCCGCGUGAGUGAUGAAGGCCUUAGGGUUGUAAAGCUCUUUUACCCGGGAAGAUAAUGACGGUACCGGGAGAAUAAGCCCCGGCUAACUCCGUG